AUCAAGAAUAAAUGUAACGGUUGUAAAAUGAACACAGAAGAAUUUCAUGGAGUGGCGGCAUUUCAAAUGUUGUUUACAUAAACAAUAUUCAAACCAUAUAGUACAAGUUGAUGGAAUUCAACUUGUAUUUAAAAUUUCGUGUAGCAGCUUGAAGUGGGUUUCAAGACUUAUGUGGAAGAAGUAUGUGGUUGUUCCACACAAAGGAAUCAUGACCUCCCCGACCAUGGCCAGCCAAAACAUUUAAAAGAUUGUACUCCGCAUCACACACCUGAAAUUAAAUAGUUUUAGUAUUUAGCUAUAUAAUAAGGAACUAAUUAAAUAAACUAUUAAUAUAAA